CCUGUUGCGAAGGCGCCACACUAGAACGGAUCCGACGGUCAGGGACGAAACCUAGGGGCACGAACCGGAUUAGAUACCCGGGUAGUCCUAGGUGUAAACGCUGUGGACUUGAUGUUGGGGGCGCUCCGAGCGCUCUCAGUGUCGAAGCGAAGGUGAUAAGUCCACUGCCUGGGGAGUACGGUCGCAAGGCUGAAACUUAAAGGAAUUGGCGGGGGAGCACUGCAACCUGAGGAUUGUGCGGUUUAAUUGGAGUCAACGCCGGGAAUCACUAGUGAAUUCGC
rnacentral:rRNA from 1 species